rnacentral:rRNA from 1 species
AGAGUUUGAUCCUGGCUCAGGACGAACGCUGGCGGCGUGCCUAACACAUGCAAGUCGAACGAAGCACUUUUUUACGAUCCCUUCGGGGUGACGAAUUUGUGACUGAGUGGCGGACGGGUGAGUAACGCGUGGGAAACCUGCCUUGUACCGGGGGAUAGCAGUUGGAAACGACUGAUAAUACCGCAUAAGCGCACAGUAUCACAUGAUACAGUGUGAAAAACUCCGGUGGUACAAGAUGGUCCCGCGUCUGAUUAGCUUGUUGGCGGGGUAAUGGCCCACCAAGGCGACGAUCAGUAGCCGACCUGAGAGGGUGACCGGCCACAUUGGGACUGAGACACGGCCCAAACUCCUACGGGAGGCAGCAGUGGGGAAUAUUGCACAAUGGAGGAAACUCUGAUGCAGCGACGCCGCGUGAGCGAUGAAGUAUUUCGGUAUGUAAAGCUCUAUCAGCAGGGAAGAUAAUGACGGUACCUGAGUAAGAAGCUCCGGCUAAAUACGUGCCAGCAGCCGCGGUAAUACGUAUGGAGCAAGCGUUAUCCGGAUUUACUGGGUGUAAAGGGAGUGUAGGCGGCUUUGCAAGUCAGAUGUGAAAGCCCGGGGCUCAACCCCGGGACUGCAUUUGAAACUGUGAAGCUGGAGUGUCGGAGAGGUAAGUGGAAUUCCUAGUGUAGCGG